CGUGGAGUGAUUUGUCUGGUUUAUUCCGAUAACGAGCGAGACUCUAGCCUACUAACUAGUCCGCACACUGCCUCCAGGUAGCAAUACCUGCUGUGUGCCCAACGAAAGGGACUUCUUAGAGGGAUUUUCGGCGUUUCAGCCGCACGAAACUGAGCAAUAACAGGUCUGUGAUGCCCUUAGAUGUCCGGGGCUGCACGCGCGCUACACUGGCGAAAUCAGCGUGCUUGUCCUCUCGCGAAAGCGAUUGGUAAACCGGUGAAAAUUCGCCGUGAUUGGGAUCGGAAAUUGCAAUUAUUUUCCGUGAACGAGGAAUUCCAAGUAAGUGCGAGUCAUCAACUCGCGUUGAAUACGUCCCUGCCCUUUGUAC
rnacentral:rRNA from 1 species